AUGUGCUUUGGCCACACAUGUACUAAAAUUGGAACAAUUCAGAGAAGAUUAGUGUGGUUCCAGGUGAGGACAAUUUGAACUUCAUGAAGUAUUCCAUAGUUUU